rnacentral:rRNA from 1 species
UACAGAGGUCUCAAGCGUUGUUCGGAUUCAUUGGGCGUAAAGGGUGCGUAGGCGGCGCGGUAAGUCGGGUGUGAAAUCUUGGAGCUUAACUCCGAAACUGCAUUCGAUACUGCCGUGCUUGAGGACUGGAGAGGAGACUGGAAUUUACGGUGUAGCGGUGAAAUGCGUAGAUAUCUGGAGGAACACCGGUGGCGAAGGCGGCAUUCUGGACUGUAACUGACACUGAGGAACGAAAGCCAGGGGAGCAAACGGG